rnacentral:misc_RNA from 1 species
CGUGCUAAUGGUCAAUGGCUUCCAUUCGGUCAAGCUAGGCACAUAUGAGCAAGGCAGAAUCCAAAGCGAUCAGAUGCGAUAUGAUGCGAUCGGCUGCUAGAAUCAUAAAAAUAUGAUCGCUUGAGCGCCGCACGAUCACGUUAGAAAUCUGAACUCCUGGCUUGAAGCACCAAUCGGCCGCGAAUUAUGUGCUGAGAAUCAUUUUGCACAGAAGACCUAACGACGACGAAACGGGCAGAACGUAACCGUUACGCACCAUCUCAUCGACCCAACGUACUGGUUUUGGACCUGAUGCGAGGGUCACCGGGGCUCGUCACGACGCCGCGGGACACACAUCGCACUAGGUGACAUGCCUAGCACUCGUGAUAUCGAAAGAGCUGAACGUAAUGGGAGAUUUCGCUCGCGAAGACGAGGCAGUACAGGCAGCGACUUGAAUCGACAUAGCUUCGACGGUCCUGAUAAGCGUCACAGACGGCAUGGCAAAAGUAAGGGCUCGGGAAAGAAGAAGAAAAAACGUUCACGCGACAAGUCAUUGGAGAAUGUUCCGACUGUAGCCUCUUCAGUUGUGAAGCCAUUGGUCGAAUAUUCGGACGUAAGUAGUGAGGAUCUCUCCGAGCCAGAGGCGGGGGAAAUACAAUCGGAGGAUAGUCGUGGCAAUAGUUACACUGACGGAGAAGUGCAGUCUGAACAGUUGCUUCAAAGGCGAUAUUAUGGCGGUAGCCCGGUACGCACCCUCGGAGCGUCGCCCAUCAGCAUAUCACCGUCAUCGCCACUUCCGCAUCGGCACUCCGGCAGGCAUUAUUCGCCGAACGAGCAACAGCAGCAAUCAGCGAUGCACAGCGGGACUCCGGAAUACGAAGAGGACUCUAGACGAUACGCUCGGCGGAAAGAAAAGAAGCAUAAACGCGAGAAGAAGAAGAAGAGAAGUCUGAGCCCAUCGUCAAACUCCGGUAAGAAAAAGAAGAGGAAAUCCAAGAGGCACUCCGACAGCAUGAGCCCGCACCACGUUCUCGCCGAGGGCGAGAUCGAUCUGAGUCCGGAGCACGAGAAGCAGUCGAUGGCCGUUGCUGGCAAUUGGUCAGAGUCCCCGCCUUUGCCGUUGAAGGACAGCACAUCGCCGAUCUCGCCAGCAACGCCGCAAGAACAGCGAUGUCUCAGCGACGACAGGGAUCUCGAGAUCUCGUCGAGACAAUCAUCUCGGAACUUGACGCCGCCGUUGCUGCCGCCCGUGCGGCAGAUAGAGUCGCCGCAUACGCCGUUAUUGCCACCGCGCGCAACCACACCGGAGAAUCUGGACAAAGCGGCCGCAUCCAAGCACAACAGUCCCGAUCGGCAGAAACGCAGUCCCAGUAUUCACGUGGUACGACGCUCCAGCAUAAGCCCCGCGCCUGGCGGCCCGAGUCGCAGACGGCCACACAGCCCGAGUCCGCCGUCGAGACGAAGGGAUCACAGUCCGCCACGUAGAAGAGAUUUCAGUCCCACCCCGAUGCUCCACAGGCUCAGGCAUAGUCCGAGUCCGGCCACGGUCAGACGACGAGAGUUCAGUCCGAGCCCCGUUGGCAGUCAUAGACGGCGAACGGACAGCGGAAUCAAUUCUCCGAAACGCAGACGGCGAGACGAGCCAGAUCGACGCCACCGACAUCACGAGAAGGACAGGAGGGACAAGCGGAAGUCGAGAUCGACCAGAAGUCCCACGGGAAGCAGAUUGCACAUGCCUCUGUCUCGUUCACGUUCUCGCAGCCCGGGAAGGUGGCGAAAGCUGUCGCGCUCGAGAUCGCGUUCGCGCAGAAGAAGUCGCACACCGAAGAAAUCGCGCUCGCCCAGUAAGACCCACAAGUCGUUGCGGAAGCACAAGUCGAAGAGCCCGCGUCCAAGAAUACCUUCUCCCACGUCACACAGGUCGCGGGCCAGAAGUCCAUCGAGCAUCACCGCGCGGAAUCUUCGAGUACAGGCGAAGAUCAGCGAGACCAGUUUAUUCGCCGAGCUGGUAAAAGAUCGCAACAUGCGAGAGUUGGCGUACAAAAGACUGCAGGCCGCGAAGGAGAAGGCGGUGAAUCAAGACGAGGUGCAAAUCAUAGAAGGCACCGACGAGAAGGACGGCGGCGGUGGCAGUGGCGUCGGCGUUGGCAGUGGCAGUGUCAUUGGCAGUGGCAGUGGCAGUGGCAAUGGUAGUGGCAGUGGCAGUGGUAGUGCUAGUGGCAGCGGCAGCAGUAACAUGUCCUCCGAGAAUAAAGCUUCCACUGAUAAUAAGGACAGAUCUGUGAAUCACAAGGAGCAGCACGCCAAGACCGGCGAGAGCGCGUCGGCCAAAAGCAUCGACGUCGUCGACAUUCCCGUACCAACGAGCGACGACAGCUCGCUGGCAGGUAAAACACCGCCGUUGCCGCCGAUCGGCACACCGAUCGGCGCACCGCCGCCCAAUCCGAUGUCCACCGCGGCAAAUCCUCUCGUUUCUCAUGCAGUUGUACAUACCUCGCCCUCGUCAUCGAUGAUGCCGAACAGCUACCCGACGCACAGCGUGUCGCACAGCCCGAAUUUUCCGGCGCCCGGCCCCGCUCCUGGUGUGCAGCCGCCGCCGCCGCCGCCACCACCGUUGCCACCACUGCCGCAAUCCGUCGAAUCCGCGUCGACAGUGCCGCAAGUGUCGGCACCUAUACCCAUAUCAGUGCCGCCGAUUCCGCCAAUUCAGCCCAAUAUAUCGGCCCUACCGCCACCAAUCCCACCGAUUCCCGUUCCGGCACCCAACACGAUCAUGGCCAAGUUUAACCCACCUAACAAUCUUGUACCGCUCAAGUCGGUGGAUCCACCCAAGCCUCCCAUUGUAACGUUUACGACAAAGAGCUUGAAGAGACUACCGUUGCCACCUGGCAUUAAUCAGAACGACUUGGAAAGCAUAGACUCCCCACCGAGUCGUUCACCGAGUCCUCCGAAUAAGGCGCAAUUGAAAUUGCCGACGUCGACGACGAAACCACCGCAGAAGAAGGGCAUCAAAGAUCUGCCGAUGCCACCAGUCGUACCUGGAUCGGAAGACUUGAGUGGCGAGGACGAUCCGAACGCAACGCCGCCGCGUUUGAAGAUCGAACGAGUGGCGCCGAAGCCCAAGCUAAAGCGGCCGAAGAUACUGAAGCGUAGAGGACCACGGAACUGUCUCACUCCCGGCGGCAAGGACUGGGGCGAGCGAUGCGUCGACGUGUUUGAGUUUAUCACGCAGAUUGGAGAGGGCACUUACGGCCAAGUGUACAAAGCACGUGACAAACGUGCCGGCGUGCUAGUGGCCUUGAAGAAGGUCCGACUCGAGAACGAGAAAGAGGGCUUCCCUAUCACAGCGGUUAGAGAGAUCAAGAUUCUACGGCAACUUAAUCACAAGAACAUCGUUAAUCUCAGAGAAAUCGUCACCGACAAACAAGACGCACUGGACUUCCGGAAGGAUAAAGGCUCGUUUUACUUAGUUUUUGAAUACAUGGACCACGAUUUGAUGGGUCUACUGGAGUCCGGUAUGGUCGAUUUCAAUGAGAUGAAUAACGCUAGUAUCAUGAAGCAGCUGCUGGACGGCUUAAAUUACUGUCACGGCAAAAACUUCCUGCAUCGGGAUAUCAAGUGCUCCAAUAUCCUGAUGAACAACAAGGGCGAAGUGAAACUGGCCGACUUUGGAUUGGCGCGGCUUUACAACGCGGAAGACAGACAGAGACCGUACACCAAUAAGGUAAUCACUCUGUGGUACAGACCUCCUGAACUAUUGCUGGGAGAAGAGCGUUAUGGACCGGCGAUUGAUGUGUGGAGUUGCGGAUGUAUUUUGGGCGAACUGUUCUCGAAGAAACCUUUAUUCCAGGUAAAUAUUGCCAAUGUAGAUAUGAUGCAGCUAGAGAUGAUUUCGAGAGUUUGCGGGACGCCUACUCCUGCCGUUUGGCCUUCUGUGAUAAAGUUGCCGCACUGGCAUACACUCAAGCCAAAAAAGAUGCACAGAAGACGUCUGAGGGAGGAUUUUUCAUUUAUGCCAGAUCCGGCCUUGGAUCUCUUGGAUAAAAUGUUGGAAUUAGAUCCGGAUAAGCGGAUAACGGCAGCGGAUGCGCUCAAGAGCGCAUGGCUAAAGAAUGUUCAGCCUGAACAAAUGCCAGCGCCGCAGCUUCCGACUUGGCAAGAUUGUCAUGAACUGUGGAGUAAAAAGCGAAAGCGCUUGUUACGGGAGCAACAAGAGAGCGCAGCGACCAAGAUGCCUCUCGUUCCGUACCCGAAUAAAGGAGGUCCUCACAAGGAUGAUCUGUCGGAUGUUGGGGGGAGGUAAUAUAGUUGUGGCUGAAUAAUAGGUGGACAAAUUUUGUAGCACUUAUAAGAAUAUAUAAUAGGUCCUCUAAACGACUUAAAAU